GAUUAUAAUGAUGAAAUAAUAUUAAUAACACCAUCUUUCGUCUGAAUGACUUUGAUGCUAUCUACUAUUCUGAUAUUC